ACGUCAAGUCCUCAUGGCCCUUACGGGCUGGGCUACACACGUGCUACAAUGGCGGUGACAAAGGGACGCAAUGGGGUAACCCUGCGCAAAUCUCGAAAAGCCGUCUCAGUUCGGAUUGUGCUCUGCAACUCGAGCACAUGAAGUUGGAAUCGCUAGUAAUCGCAGAUCAGCACGCUGCGGUGAAUACGUUCCCGGGCCUU
rnacentral:rRNA from 1 species